AUGCUCGCUUUGGCAGCACAUAUACUAAAAUUGGAACAAUACAGAGAAGAUUAGCAUUACCCCUUCGCAAGGACGACAAGCAAAUUCUUGAAGCUUUCCAUAUUUUU
ensembl:snRNA U6 U6 spliceosomal RNA